UACCAGCAGCAGCUCCCACACGACGAACAGGCAGCAGCAACAUCGAACUCUGGCGAGCCUCAUUCUUCCUUCUCCGGCAAGAAUCUCGUCAGUAGUAGCGACAACGAAUCAGCAAGGCCCUCAUGGUUCCAUCUCCGGUGAAGUAGGAACUGGCAUCUCUAGAUAAGGCUGGAAAAUGUCUUCUCAGGUAUCCAAGACUUGUGUCCUUGAAGCUAUUCGAAAGGACUUCGAAUUAUAUUUUUAAAUUCAUUAUUAUGUAUAUAUCGAUGUUAGACAAAUCUUUGGCCGGUAUUAUUAUUUUAUUUCACUAUUUAUAUUGCUUGUUUA